AUCAUUGUUACAUAUUUUUGGGCUCUCCCCCUGGAUGAUGUGAGACUCUUUUUCUUCCUGGGUCCUUUCCACAAAGGAGAUUGGGACAUAUCACUUGACCCAGCACCUACGUGAUGUGACUCUCAUCUGAUGCCUUGGCCCUUCCCACUGGACUGAUUGUGACAUAUAGCUGGGCACAGCUUCUAGGUUAUGUGACUCUUCUCUUCUUCCUGAGUCCUGCCCACAGGGGGUAUUGUGACAUAUCUCUAAACACUUCACCUAGAUAAUGGGACUUUUUCAUCUGGGCCCUCCCCAAAGAGCCUAUUGUGACAUGUUUGGAUCAAGCACCUAGGAGAUGUUACUCUUCUCUCCUACCUGUUACCUGUUACUGGCAGUGAAUCCGUAUGGGUACAGGUCUGCAGCAACCUCAAUUCUUGCCUCCUCAGAAGAAAAGAACUCAACUGAGGGGCAUAAGGCAGAAUGAGAGACCAAGGCAAGUAAUAGAGCAGGAGUGAAAGUUUAUUAGAACAGGAACAAAAGGAAAAAAAGCACACUUGGAAGAGGACCAAGUGGACGACUUAAAAGAACAGGAUCGUAAAAUAUACCUGGCCGAGUACCCAGUGAUGUGACUCUUCUCCCGGGUUCCUGCCAUCAGAGAAGAUUGUGAAAAAUCCCUGACCUACCAUCAAAGUGAUGUGACUCUCCUGCUCACUCUCUAUCCACAGGUGGGAUUGAGAAGUAUAUCUUCAUUCACAGGCAUACCCAGCGAGCAAUGAGGACUGUCAUUCUCACAAAUAGACAAAGACUUCUGGUUUGGUCCUAAGUGUCACAUGUGGAUGCAGUCCCCAGUCGAAAUUGUGACUGUUAUAUUUGGAUCUGGCCACAGGUGGCCAGAUCACAGACACGGUGUGAUUGUGGCAUAUGUUUUUGCCCAUACCCUGAGUGAUUUUAGUUUCCUGCCUGAGCCCAGCCCACAGAUGGAACUGCAACAUAUACUGAGGCCAAGCAGCUAGGUAACAUGACUCUUCUCAUCUGCCUGAACCUGUCACUUAGAAGUAAUUGUGACAUAUUUCUGAAUACCGACAGGAAAGAUUGUGUCAUAUCACUGAGCCCAGCACCUAGGUGAUGUGCUGCUUCUGCCAUAGUUCUCCCCACAUAAAACAUUGUGACAUAUUUCUGGGCCAAUUACGUAAGUUAAAUGAGUCUUUGCUUAUGCCUGGAUCUCGCCCUCAGAAGAACUCAUAACAUGUUGCUGGACCCAGCACCUAGGUAAUUUGAGUCUUCUCUGCUGCCUGGCCCCUGCCAACAGAAGGGAUUUUAAAACCAUUGUUUAAC
rnacentral:lncRNA from 1 species